rnacentral:lncRNA from 1 species
UCUAAUGAUGUCCCAAGUAAAAUAUGAAACAACUCUACUGUCUGAGACCUAAACAAAGCUUCAAGUUAAACACAAUAAGUAUUCUAACAAAUAUGCAUAUUUUGGGAAAAUAUGCGCGUUCGGGAGAGAUAAACAAAAACACGAGGAAAAUAUGCGUACUGUUGUUGGAGGGGCUCUCGGUCGGAGGAUUCCGGUAGGGGCUUACGGCUGAGGAAAAACUUUUGCAUAUGGAUUGACUUCCAAAAUUUUGAUGAGCUUCUUCACUACUAUUUCUGAGAUAUUUUGAUUUUGCAUUAUGUUCAUUCUGUUCUCUACCUCGCUUCCUGUUUCAUAAAAAUAUAAUUGAAAAAAGUCAGGAGUUGAAUCUUGUGGUAUAAAUCCCGGAAGAUCAUGAUAAAUCAUUUCUUGUGCUCGGAAAGAAUAAAUUCCUCGUCUUGAAGAUGCAAGCUCUUUAUCCAAUUUCACUCCAAAUGAAGUAAAUGAGAAUAUACAAUUGUAUGAGCGGAUAUUUCUUCGGAAAUCCAUAGCUUCUUGUGAUUCAGAUGUAAACCAUUCAUAUAAUUCUUCGGGAAUUUCAGAAAAUGGAAGUAUAACCUUUCCAUUAUCGCAACAAAAAGUAGGAGGCUCAUAUUGAAAUUUUGUAGCUCCGCAAUAAGUGCAAUCAGUCACCUUUUUUAGUUCAUUUAGUAUAGAACCUGAAUGCAUAAACAAUAAAUUUAAAUUUAAUGAAAUAUUAUUUAUCCAUAAAUAAAUGACAUUGUAUUACUUACUAUUGAUAUCACAUGAAUUCUGUUGUUUUAAGUUCGAACGUUUCCUUUCCAUUUGUGAAAGUCUUCUUUGUCGAUAUACCUCU